CUGGCACUAACCUUUGUGCCCUUCUAUAAUAUCUAAGUUGAAAGAAAUCACCCUAGGUCACCUUCAUAUUCAAGUGAUGUUGAUGAUUUAAAGGUGUAGCUAUAGACUUCUCCCCUCCACGCAAGAUUCCUGAGCUGUCCAACCUGGCUCGCCAAAUAUCAUCAACGUGAACUGUUGAUAAGAUAAAUCUGAGUUUAUUGCUUACCUAGAAGUGACGGGUCUUUUGGGAAGUUCCUGUAAUGAAUAAUCAAGCCAUUUGCCUGGGCAGAAGACUCCCGGAAAAAGAAAGCCAUGCUGAUGAAGCCAGAAGAACAGAAAGUCGUGCUGAUGUAGACAGUAGGACCAGCGGUGGGAGGAGCAAGAGGCCAUUGGGCCCAUACCAAAUGAGGCUGUCAGUGGAGUCAUCGUAUUUAUGUGUUCUUUAAAGGCAUUAAUUUAUU
rnacentral:lncRNA from 1 species